UACAGAGGGUGCAAGCGUUAAUCGGAAUUACUGGGCGUAAAGGGUGCGUAGGUGGUUUUUUAAGUCGUUUGUGAAAUAUCCGGGCUUAACCUGGGUUCUGCGAACGAUACUGGGAAACUAGAAUAGGAUAGAGGGAAGUGGAAUUUCCGGUGUAGCGGUGAAAUGCGUAGAUAUCGGAAGGAACACCAGUGGCGAAGGCGGCUUCCUGGAUCCAUAUUGACACUGAGGCACGAAAGCGUGGGGAUCAAACAGGAUUAGAAACCCUAGUAGU
rnacentral:rRNA from 1 species